AGAGUUUGAUCCUGGCUCAGGAUGAACGCUGGCGGCGUGCUUAACACAUGCAAGUCGAACGAAGCAUAGGAGUGGAAUUUUUCGGAAGGAAACAACUAUGACUGAGUGGCGGACGGGUGAGUAACGCGUGGGUAACCUGCCUCAUACAGGGGGAUAACAGUUAGAAAUGACUGCUAAUACCGCAUAAGCGCACAAAACCGCAUGGUUUGGUGUGAAAAACUGAGGUGGUAUGAGAUGGACCCGCGUCUGAUUAGCUAGUUGGAGAGGUAACGGCUCACCAAGGCAACGAUCAGUAGCCGACCUGAGAGGGUGACCGGCCACAUUGGGACUGAGACACGGCCCAAACUCCUACGGGAGGCAGCAGUGGGGAAUAUUGCACAAUGGGGGAAACCCUGAUGCAGCAACGCCGCGUGAGUGAAGAAGUAUUUCGGUAUGUAAAGCUCUAUCAGCAGGGAAGAAGAGAGACGGUACCUGACUAAGAAGCCCCGGCUAACUACGUGCCAGCAGCCGCGGUAAUACGUAGGGGGCAAGCGUUAUCCGGAUUUACUGGGUGUAAAGGGAGCGUANACGGUUGCAUAAGUCUGAAGUGAAAAGCCAAGGCUUAACCAUGGAACUGCUUUGGAAACUAUGAAGCUAGAGUGCUGGAAAGGUAAGCGGAAUUCCU
rnacentral:rRNA from 1 species